GUUGACCAUGCCACUUCUUUGCACGUUGUUUAGCAUCUAGAGUUUAGUUGUUUUUGUCAUUGUUCCUUCGACAUUGAAACAUGGUUUGUGCAUCCCAACUUUGGUACCAUAAUCUUAUAGGAUUGGCACAUGCCAAUUGGUACAUAUGAUAUACAUUGUUAUACCAAUAUAAACAGUAAACUGAAAUUUUGUUAAUCUUUCAACACCAGCUGACAUGGUCAUACACAAGGUUCGCCGUACCGUACCGUACCGGAGUUUCGACCCGGGCUCGAUACGGUACGGUACAGGUGUACCGGGCGGUACACCAGGGCAUACCGAACGGUACACCUUGGUGUACCGAUACUGUAGCAGUGCUACAGUGUAGCACUGUAGCGGUACAGGGCGGUCCACGUACCGAGUACUUGGCGGACCGGUACGUACCGCCCGGUAUGGCCGGUACGCUUUGGUACGGCAGACACUGGUCAUACACUAGUUUACUAGUACGGUACGCGUUGUUGACCUGGGUAUUUGAAACCAUGUGCAUCAUUAUUUAAUAAAUGACUAUGCUGAUUCUAGAUUUGUUCUAAACCUAUUUGUUUUUAUGCCAUGGAUUCAAAUAUCAUGGUGUAUUGAUUGUACCAUACCGGCUCAACCAUUUCCAAUAUGCAAUAUAUCAUACUGUUCUAAGGUAUAUAUCACAAUAUUCUGAACUGCACCACAUGCUGUACAGCUCAGUAUCAAGAUAUAUAUCCUUAUUAUGAAUG
rnacentral:lncRNA from 1 species